CCUGCACACACUGCCCCCUGCCCUGGAGCCACCCCCAGCCCACCCAAAGUGGCCCAGGAAAACACCUUAACAGCAAAGGCACAGAAGAAUGUGGCAUUUAAGAAUCCUCAGUUCAGGAAAGCUUCAUUUCCCAUUGCUCAAUUCAAGUAGUUCCAAAAAGUUGCAAACAUCCCAAAUCAAUUGGGAUGGCUUGAGAAGGUGAAGAGUUGGAAUUUUUCUUCCCAUCUCAAAGCAGUGACGCACUUGUUUUAACGUCAUCCACUGGGAGUCACUUUACAGAACAUAACACUCCACAGAGGCAAAAAAAGGGCCAUUCUUUGGUUUGCAAAUGGUUUUUUAUGAAGGGAUGAUUAUAUCCUCAUUCUCCUAAGGAAUAAAAACUCUCAAGAAAUGAAA